AUUGAACGCUGGCGGCGUGCCUAACACAUGCAAGUCGUGCGAGAAAGUUCCUUCGGGAGCGAGUAAAGCGGCGCACGGGUGAGUAACACGUAGGUAACCUCGCCCCCCCAGUCUGGAACAACUAGAGGAAACUCUAGCUAAUGCCGGAUGAGACCACGAUCCCUUCGGGGGUUGCGGCCAAAGAUGGCCUCUACUUGUAAGCUAUCGCUGAGGGAUGGGCCUGCGGGCCAUUAGCUUGUUGGUGAGGUAACGGCUCACCAAGGCUGUGAUGGCUAGCUGGUCUGAGAGGAUGACCAGCCACACUGGGACUGAGACACGGCCCAGACUCCUACGGGAGGCAGCAGUGGGGAAUAUUGCGCAAUGGGCGAAAGCCUGACGCAGCGACGCCGCGUGGGUGAUGAAGGCCU
rnacentral:rRNA from 1 species